rnacentral:tRNA from 1 species
GGUGAGGUGCGAGAGUGGUUGAAUCGGGCGGUCUCGAAAACCGUUGAGGGGGUGACUCCUCCGUGGGUUCGAAUCCCACCCUCACCGCCA